CGGAGGCCAUUGCUAUUGGGAUCCGAUUUAGCCAUGCUAGUCGCACGAGUUCAGACUCGUGGCGAAUAGCUCAGUAACACGUGGCCAAACUACCCUUCGGAACACAAUACCCUCGGGAAACUGAGGCUAAUAGUGUAUACCAUACCACCACUGGAAUGAGUGGUAUGCCAAACGCUCCGGCGCCGAAGGAUGUGGCUGCGGCCGAUUAGGUAGACGGUGGGGUAACGGCCCACCGUGCCAAUAAUCGGUAUGGGUCAUGAGAGUGAGAGCCCAGAGACGGAAUCUGAGACAAGAUUCCGGGCCCU
rnacentral:rRNA from 3 species